AAUCAUACUGAGGACACCUUUUCAAAAGUUCUCCAAAUUGUUCCCAUGCUUCAAAUAUGAAUUCUAACUCAUGUUACUAGAAGUUAGAUAUCUCUGCCAUCAGAUU